GUUGUUUUACACCGCGUAACACAACCUGCAGUAUUUAAGUUUCACCUCUACUUUUGAUGCAUUCACACCUAUCGAAGGUUAAUUUUUUAUUUAUAUUACAGGUUAAUACUAUGUCUAACACAGUUACUGGUACAGUUAAGUGGUUCAACGAGUCUAAAGGUUUUGGUUUCAUUUCUCAGGAAAAUGGCCCAGACGUAUUCGCUCACUUCAGCGCUAUCCAAGGCGACGGCUUCAAAACUUUGGUUGAAGGCCAGAGCGUAGAAUUCACAGUUUCUCAGGGUCAAAAAGGUCCUCAGGCUGACAAAAUCGUAGUUCUUUAAUUACUACGCAUUUUGCAAAAAAAGCGAGCUAAGGCUCGCUUUUUUCG
rnacentral:sRNA from 1 species